AACAGGACUAUGGUGAUGUCUAAGGUAAUGUUAUUCAGUAGCAGGACUAUGGUGAUGUCUAAGGUAAUGUUAUUCAGUAGCAGGACUAUGGUGAUGUCUAAGGUAAUGUUAUUCAGUAGCAGGACUAUGGUGAUGUCUAAGGUAAUGUUAUUCAGUAGCAGGACUAUGGUGAUGUCUAAGGUAAUGUUAUUCAGUAGCAGGACUAUGGUGAUGUCUAAGGUAAUGUUAUUCAGUAGCAGGACUAUGGUGAUGUCUAAGGUAAUGUUAUUCAGUAGCAGGACUAUGGUGAUGUCUAAG